rnacentral:rRNA from 1 species
GUAAUACGAGUAGCACUAGUGGUACCCGUGAAUAUUGAGCUUAAAGCGUUCGUAGCCGGUCGAGUCAGUUUCCUGUGAAAUCUGCGGGCUUAACCCGCUUAGGCGUGCAGGAAAUACUGCUCGGCUAGGGAACGGGGGAGGUCAGGAGUACUCUAGGGGAGCGGUAAAAUGCUGUAAUCCUUGGAGGACUAACGAUGGCGAAGGCACCUGACUAAAACGUGUCCGACGGUGAGGGACGAAGGCUAGGGGAGCGAACGGGAUUAGAUACCCCGGUAGUCCUAGCAGUAAAUGAUGCAGAUUUGGCGUUGCAUUCACCACGAGUGGGUGCAGUGCCGUAGGGAAACCGUUUAAUCUGCCGCUUGGGGAGUACGAUCGCAAGAUUGAAACUUAAAGGAAUUGGCGGGGGAGCACCACAAGGGGUGGAUGCUGCGGUUCAAUCGGACUCAACGCCGAGAAACUUACCAAGAGAGACGGCAGAAUGAAGCCCAGGCUAAAGACCUUGGCUAACGAGCCGAGAGGUGUUGCAUGGCCAGCGUCAGUUCGUGUCGUGAGGUGUCAGGUUAAGUCCUGCAACGAACGAGAUCUCCGUCAACAGUUGCCAGUCGUUCCUCCGGGGGCGGCGCACUCUGUUGAGACUGCCUGCGUUAAGUGGGAGGAAGGAGGAGGCGACGCUAGGUCUGUAUGGCCCGAAUCUCUUGGGCCACACGUGGCAUACAAAGGCGCGGACAAUGGGUUCCGACACCGAAAGGUGGAGGCAAUCCCCUAAACCGCGUCCCAGUCCAGAUUGGGGGCUGAAACUCGUCCCCAUGAAGUUGGAAUCCCUAGUAAUCGCGUGUCAACAUCGCGCGGUGAAUAUGUCCCCGCUCCUUGCA